rnacentral:snRNA from 1 species
GUGCUCACUUUGGCAGCACAUAUACUAAAAUUGGAACGAUACAGAGAAGAUCAGCAUGGCCCCUGCACACAGAUGACAGCAAAUUCAUGAAGCGUUUCGUAUUUAA